GCUCCGGUAGUGUAGUGGCCAAUCAUUCGGCCCUUUCGAGGCCGUGACACGGGUUCGAAUCCCGUCCGGAGCA
rnacentral:tRNA from 1 species